AUGUCUGGGACAGCUGCUACCUUGCUUGAUUUUUCCAGUGCAGAGUCUGGAGUCUCCUCGCCCUUAAGCAAAAGCGAUGUCUGCGUCUGCUGCUUUUCACUUGGCAGACUGCCAAGUGAUAUUCCCACCCUGAUCUGCAGGAUGGCUUCCAGCACUCAACAGAUGAUCCAGCAGAGAACUGGUGCCUAUCAGCUUUCCAUCAGAUGCACAGAUCAUACUGAGCUGCAUUUGCAGAAGUCAAUUUUGAUGCUCAGCAUUUGGCUUACAUGGGAGGCGAAGACCAAGAAAGCGAGCAGUGGAGCAUGAUGUCCACUUAAGAUGGAGUUUGCUCAGUAGACUACGAAGUCCGAGGAGCUGACUGUUUCAAAACCAUAGAAAAAAGAGGGAAGGGACCAGGAGCAGGUACAGCUCCCUUCGUGCACCUCCCUGGCUGCUCCGGAGGCCCGGUGUUGACACCGUGGUUUGAAAUAAGCUGGAUCGGGUGUCUGGUCAUGCUCCGUGGCCCUCAGCACCAUCUGUGCUAGGAGACACGGGAAUAAUGGAGCGAUCUGAAAACUGCGACGAGGGGAAGCCCUGACGCCAGGGUGCUGGGUUUUUAAGCAAAAAAUGGAAGCCUACAUGUGAAAAGAUUGCUGUGGCCCCGACUCCAAGGUUUUUAAGCAAAAAAAUGGAAGACUAUGUGUGAAAGGAUUGCUGUGUCAAUAUGCUUGCAUACGUGAGUUUAUUACUUCGGUGCUUACAUACGUUAACCUACUACACAUGCUAUGAGUUGCUUUGGCCUACUAAUUUCUAUCCAUUUUAAGCAACUUUAAUUUCCACCGUGAUGGGAAGCUCGGUGAAAUCACAGCUAUAACAGGCGUCUUUCAGAGCGCUGAGUCAGUGCUGGGUUUCCCAUCUGUUUCACGGCGCACUGAGGCUGCAGCACAUGGCCAGCCCUCCGGUGCUUGCAGCAGGUGUUCGGUCCGGUGGGCCCUGCCCAGAGCUGCUGGUUUCUGACCUGCUCUGCUGCGCUCCUCCCCGUGCACGUACCCGGAGAAUACAGGGGGGAGACGCACUGAGUGUGUUUUUUUACGGAACGCGCUGCGUACGCUGCGCUCAGCGAGUGGGGACGGCUGCCGUCUCACCUCUGUGGGGGCCCGGGGGUGGUUUUCUGAAAACUUGUGAGGUGUUUUUAGACGCAAAAGGGCCGUGAACGCACGCGGCGCUGAGGCACGCUCCGUGUGCCC
rnacentral:lncRNA from 1 species